GCAACUGUACAGAACCGAACUACAUUUGUGACAAGGUAUAUACACAAAGAAAUUUUUAAUGAAGAGAGCAAGUUUGGCAACCCCAGCAGGAGAAGAAAUAUUGGCUCCACCUUGACUUCAAUUCCCAGGAUUUCCUUCAGCUCUCUUACUAUGGCACUCCAGUAUCUCCGGAUCUUGCAACAUGAUCAAAAACUGUGUUGUCCACUUGUUCUUGAAGGACCCAAACCUGGCCUACCAGCAUUCAGAUCGGUCCUCCUGAGUCCUCCGCCACGUUCUCAGAUGCUGCGGUCCUCAGCUCGACCAUUUCCA